rnacentral:antisense_RNA from 1 species
GAUAGCCGAAGAUCACAGCCGGGUUGAGGGUCGGGUUACUAAUGAUACGAACUGCACCACCACCAGGGGCCCAGCUAUCAUAAACACCACCGAAGAACAUAGCUUUGAAGACCAACAAUAAAGCUCCUAUUCCUAAGAGGAUUAAGUGGUAGCCAAUGAUAUUGGUCAUUUGAUUCUUAUCUCUCCA